rnacentral:lncRNA from 1 species
CUCGUAAAGGCACAUGUACGCUUUGUUGUUCCGCGUGUGCUUCCAAUAUAUGCUACUUAUUGUUGAAACUGCCCUCUUGUACUCUGGUGUGUGGGAUUGUCUGGACCUUUGCCAGAAAUGGUAAAGGGUAUGCGCUUAUUGCCCGCUAUGUGGGAUAUUCUGGACCUUUGCCAGAAAUGGUAAAGGGUAUGCGCUUAUUGCCUGCUAUGUGGGGUCCCGCUAUGUGGGAUAUUCUGGAUGAAUCACAUUCUGACUGAGAUCCCACUACACCCUCUGUAUGUUUGAUAUGAUAUCCAGAGCUUUGAUUAUGUGUUUCUGUACAUGCUUUGGAUAAGAUUGAUAUGUUUGCAACGUCAAAGACGACGUUUGAGCUUCUGUACGGUAUUUGUUAUUGAUAUGCUCUGAAAUGUUUCAUCCACUGUUGAUAUGUUUCGAAAUGUUCCAUAUGUCGUUGAUAUGCUCCGGAACAUUUCAUACGCCAUUGAUAUGCUCCAAUUACUCUGUGCUCCAUUUGCUAUGAACUGAUAUGUUCUGAAAUGUCCUAUCUGCCAUUGAUAUGCUCCUAUUACUAUAUGCUCCAUUUGUUAUGAAUCAAAUAUGUUUUGAAUGACAUGAUACAUAUGAUUUUGUAUCUAAUGAGAUGGUAUCCUUGAGAAUUCUUGUAUUCUGCCUUACAUUAUGAUACCUUACUCGUUUGAAACCGUUCCUUUUGUUCUGAAUAUGUUUUGUCACUUGCUGAGCCAUUUUUGGCUCACUCCGUUGUUAUAUAAAUCUUUCAGGUCAGCUUGUCACUCUUCGAGAUGUUUGAUUUGGGCUGAGGCAGUGGAUAGCUAUUCAGAAUUAUGGGCAAGUCUGGUUGGUUAUUAUGAUAUUGUUGUAUAAGUAUGUUUUGUAUGUAAUGAAAUGUUGUCGAUGAACCGAAAUGGAUAUACGGUGUCAAAGUGUUAUGAGAUCUCUCUUAUUUGAAAUUUCGGAAUGUUAAGUCUAAUUUAUGAUGAUAUGAACUUGUGGUGAAUAGUUGGAGUUCUGAUUGUAUAAUUUAUUUAGCUUAUGGAUUUAUAAAUGUUGUUUAUGUUUGUCAAGUUGGCUUGGGUUGCCAUAAAUGGGAAUUAUCGAGUGAUGUGAUAUAUGAUUUUAAAAUGCACAGGUUUUAUGGAUGUGAAUUUGAUUGAAUGUUUUUCAGUGUCCUCAAACGUUAGUUUGGAUCCUGGAUUGGUCUGUGAAGAAAAUUUUAAAAAAAAUCAU